rnacentral:rRNA from 1 species
GACGAACGCUGGCGGCGUGCUUAACACAUGCAAGUCGAACGGAAAGGCCCUGCUUUUGUGGGGUGCUCGAGUGGCGAACGGGUGAGUAACACGUGAGCAACCUGCCCUUGACUUUGGGAUAACUUCAGGAAACUGGGGCUAAUACCGGAUAGGAGCUCCUGCUGCAUGGUGGGGGUUGGAAAGUUUCGGCGGUUGGGGAUGGACUCGCGGCUUAUCAGCUUGUUGGUGGGGUAGUGGCUUACCAAGGCUUUGACGGGUAGCCGGCCUGAGAGGGUGACCGGCCACAUUGGGACUGAGAUACGGCCCAGACUCCUACGGGAGGCAGCAGUGGGGAAUAUUGCACAAUGGGCGGAAGCCUGAUGCAGCAACGCCGCGUGCGGGAUGACGGCCUUCGGGUUGCAAACCGCUUUCGCCUGUGACGAAGCGUGAGUGACGGUAAUGGGUAAAGAAGCACCAGCUAACUACGUG